AUUAUUUUUUCCACAAAAAAUCUGUUCAUAUCAGUUUAAUAUCUGAUACGUCCCCCAUCGGGGGACUACAUAUUAAAUGGAUUUUUCGAACAGGGAGUCGGAAAUGGGGCUUGCUCCGUCCGCUCCACGCAUCUACAAUACGCAUCUACCCGGUAUUGCAGUACCUCCGGGAACGGUGCAACACUU